GAUUAAGUGUCGUAAGGGCAUUUGGUGGAUGCCUUGGCAUGCACAGGCGAUGAAGGACGUGAUACGCUGCGAAAAGCCGUGGGGAGCUGCGAAUGAGCUUUGAUCCAUGGAUCUCCGAAUGGGGCAACCCACCUUAAAUACCUAGAAAAUCUGUUUUGUUGCUUUCGUUGCGAGGGACUUCCUUCGUAGCGCAAAGCGCGUCGCCGGUUAUCCGGCGCGCCCGCAGGCCUUUGGCCGUGAGGACAAAACAGGUUUCUAGGUAUUGUGAUAAGGUAUCUACACCUGAAUACAUAGGGUGUAAGAAGCGAACGCAGGGAACUGAAACAUCUAAGUACCUGCAGGAAAGGACAUCAACCGAGACUCCGCAAGUAGUGGCGAGCGAACGCGGACCAGGCCAGUGGCAAUUGUGAUUAAAGUGGAACGCUCUGGAAAGUGCGGCCGUAGUGGGUGACAGCCCCGUACGCGUAGAUAUCAUGAUUGUCCUAGAGUAGGGCGGGACACGAGAAAUCCUGUCUGAACAUGGGGAGACCACUCUCCAAGCCUAAGUACUCGUGCAUGACCGNNNNNNNNNNNNNNNNNNNNNNNNNNNNNNNNNNNNNNNNNNNNNNNNNNNNNNNNNNNNNNNNNNNNNNNNNNNNNNNNNNNNNNNNNNNNNNNNNNUAUAGCGAACAAGUACCGUGAGGGAAAGGUGAAAAGCACCCCGACAAGGGGAGUGAAAUAGAACCUGAAACCGGAUGCCUACAAACAGUCGGAGCCCGCAAGGGUGACGGCGUACCUUUUGUAUAAUGGGUCAACGACUUAGUGUAACAAGCAAGCUUAAGCCGGUAGGUGUAGGCGAAGCGAAAGCGAGUCUGAAUAGGGCGAUUUAGUUUGUUGCAUUAGACCCGAAACCGAGUGAUCUAGCCAUGAGCAGGUUGAAGGUUGGGUAACACCAACUGGAGGACCGAACCCGCAUCUGUUGCAAUAGAUUGGGAUGACUUGUGGCUAGGGGUGAAAGGCCAAUCAAACUCGGAAAUAGCUGGUUCUCCGCGAAAUCUAUUUAGGUAGAGCGUCGAGCGAAUACCCCCGGGGGUAGAGCACUGGAUGGGCUAUGGGGACUCACCGUCUUACUGAUCCUAACCAAACUCCGAAUACCGGGGAGUACUACUCGGCAGACACACGGCGGGUGCUAACGUCCGUCGUGAAAAGGGCAACAACCCUAACCUCCAGCUAAGGUCCCCAAGUCAUGGCUAAGUGGGAAAGGAUGUGAGGAUCCCAAAACAACCAGGAUGUUGGCUUAGAAGCAGCCAUCAUUUAAAGAAAGCGUAACAGCUCACUGGUCUAAAUAAGGGUCUUUGCGCCGAAAAUGUAACGGGGCUGAAGCCAUGCACCGAAGCUGAGGAUGUGUAGCAAUACACGUGGUAGCGGAGCGUUCCGUAAGCUGAUGAAGGGAGACCUGUGAGGGCUCCUGGAGGUAUCGGAAGUGCGAAUGUUGACAUGAGUAACGAUAAAGAGGGUGAGAGACCCUCUCGCCGAAAGACCAAGGGUUCCUGCUUAAAGUUAAUCUGAGCAGGGUUAGCCGGCCCCUAAGGCGAGGCAGAAAUGCGUAGUCGAUGGGAACCACGUUAAUAUUCGUGGGCCUGGUGGUAGUGACGGAUUGCACAAGUUGUUCUGGUUUAUUGGAUUAUCAGGGCAGCGGAGCGGUUCCAGGAAAUAGCUCCACCGUAUAGACCGUACCCGAAACCGACACAGGUGGUCAGGUAGAGUAUACCAAGGCGCUUGAGAGAACUAUGUUGAAGGAACUCGGCAAAUUGCACGCGUAACUUCGGAAGAAGCGUGACCCCAUUUUACGCAAGUAUGAUGGGGUGGCACAGACCAGGGGGUAGCGACUGUUUAUCAAAAACACAGGGCUCUGCGAAGUCGCAAGACGACGUAUAGGGUCUGACGCCUGCCCGGUGCUGGAAGGUUAAGAGGAGAGGUGCAAGCUUUGAAUCGAAGCCCCAGUAAACGGCGGCCGUAACUAUAACGGUCCUAAGGUAGCGAAAUUCCUUGUCGGGUAAGUUCCGACCUGCACGAAUGGCGUAACGACUUCCCCGCUGUCUCCAACAUAGACUCAGUGAAAUUGAAUUCCCCGUGAAGAUGCGGGGUUCCUGCGGUCAGACGGAAAGACCCCGUGCACCUUUACUAUAGCUUUACACUGGCAUUCGUGUCGGCAUGUGUAGGAUAGGUGGUAGGCUUUGAAGCGGGGACGCCAGUUUCCGUGGAGCCAUCCUUGAAAUACCACCCUUAUCGUCAUGGAUGUCUAACCGCGGCCCGUCAUCCGGGUCCGGGACAGUGUAUGGUGGGUAGUUUGACUGGGGCGGUCGCCUCCGAAAGAGUAACGGAGGCGCGCGAUGGUGGGCUCAGACCGGUCGGAAAUCGGUCGUCGAGUGCAAUGGCAUAAGCCCGCCUGACUGCGAGACUGACAAGUCGAGCAGAGACGAAAGUCGGUCAUAGUGAUCCGGUGGUCCCGCGUGGAAGGGCCAUCGCUCAACGGAUAAAAGGUACGCCGGGGAUAACAGGCUGAUGACCCCCAAGAGUCCAUAUCGACGGGGUUGUUUGGCACCUCGAUGUCGGCUCAUCGCAUCCUGGGGCUGGAGCAGGUCCCAAGGGUUUGGCUGUUCGCCAAUUAAAGCGGUACGUGAGCUGGGUUCAGAACGUCGUGAGACAGUUCGGUCCCUAUCUGCCGUGGGUGUAGGAAUAUUGACAGGAUCUGUCCCUAGUACGAGAGGACCGGGAUGGACAUAUCUCUGGUGGACCUGUUGUCCUGCCAAGGGCAUAGCAGGGUAGCUAUAUAUGGACGGGAUAACCGCUGAAGGCAUCUAAGCGGGAAACCCACCUGAAAACGAGUAUUCCCUAUCAGAGCCGUGGAAGACGACCACGUUGAUAGGCCGGGUGUGGAAGUGCGGCAACGCAUGAAGCUUACCGGUACUAAUAGCUCGAUCGGCUUGAUCGU
rnacentral:rRNA from 1 species